UACGUAGGGCGCAAGCGUUAUCCGGAAUUAUUGGGCGUAAAGAGCUCGUAGGCGGUUUGUCGCGUCUGCCGUGAAAGUCCGGGGCUCAACUCCGGAUCUGCGGUGGGUACGGGCAGACUAGAGUGAUGUAGGGGAGACUGGAAUUCCUGGUGUAGCGGUGGAAUGCGCAGAUAUCAGGAGGAACACCGGUGGCGAAGGCGGGUCUCUGGGCAGUAACUGACGCUGGAGGAGCGAAAGCGUGGGGAGCGAACAG
rnacentral:rRNA from 1 species